CCAGGGCUCAGUGAGGAGCCGGAGUGUCCCGGCCUGCCUGGACUCCAGCCGGGACCUCCCACAUGAGGCUCAUUCAUCUAUGCCCAGGAUUCUCAAAGAACCCCGGCCCCAGCCUGCUCUCUGUCAUGUGCUGAGCCCCAAGCUUACCCAUGCCUCCUGCCGUGGGGACCAGAGAAUGAGAAGACCACCAGGGAGACCCGCCCUGGAGACCAUGGUGUGCUGCUGACUCACGAGAAUGACAUCACCAAGUGUGCCCUCUGUCCUGUCACUUGGAGCUCCUGGAAGCACAGAAUGUCCCUCAGCCUGGACACUGCCCCUGGCCUGGGGAGGUAGAUGCUCCCCACCUCCCCUCCUGCCCUAGUGCAGAGGAAAGAAGAUCAAAUCUGGAGUCAGCAGACAUAGGAGUCUAAUCCCUGGUUCUGAUAUAUCUAGGCAGUCAUUGCCUUAGCCACACUCAGCCUUAAUCUCCUGAUCUGCAAAAUGGGGAGAACCACACUAACUUUGCAGUUUGCGGUGAGAGUCAAGGAAACCCACGUGAGAAGUGUCUGGCACUGUGCCUCGCAUGUAGGCUUGAGCUGAGCUCCAGGGAGUGAGAGAAAGGGGACCUAACAGACUUGUGGGAGACGAGCGUGAAGACAAAGCAAUGACCCCAGAUAGGCCAGUCGCAAAUGCCAGGAAAGAUCCACGGACCCUGGAGUUUCACCUGGACCUUGAGAAACAGAAUUUGAAUAUUGUGGAGAUUAACAAAACAAAACACCACAGGAGCAAAGGUCCUGAGUGAAGCUGGCCCUUUGGGGCUGGUGUAUCUGGUCAGCUGGUAGGCAUGGAGGGCCCACCCCACGGGGAGAAGCCAGGCAGAGAAAGAAGGCUGGAGGCGGCCGGAAAAGACGGAAAAGACACAGGUGUCAGGCGACGUUUGAAUUGAUUUUCAGCACUAGGGAGCCAUCUCUGAUCAGGGAGUGGAGUGAGCAGAAAUGCCUUCUGGAGGAGGCCUUGAAACCACCUUUGCAAAAAUGGUAUCAGUGAGAAAAUUAUGACAGUGAAAGAGAUCUCAGCUAACCUACCCCCAAUCUUUCCUUUCCCUUCCUUAUUCCUGGGUAUUGGGCCGAGCUAACUUUGAAGACAUUUAGGCUGUAGUUUAAAUGGUAACAGGCCUUGUCCCAAAACGCAGCUGCUUUUGUAAAGCUAAUGAGAGGCCAUCAGGCCUGGGGGAGUAGAGGGCCCUGACUCCUGCUAAGGCGCAGACAUAAAAGACUGUCAGCCACGAUGCCAGAGGUCAGAAGACAGGCAACUUCCCUAAUUACUCCUGCAAAUAAUGCCAAUGUUGUGAACCUAAGGUCGGCC
rnacentral:lncRNA from 1 species